rnacentral:rRNA from 1 species
UACGUAGGGUGCGAGCGUUAAUCGGAAUUACUGGGCGUAAAGCGUGCGCAGGCGGUCUUUUAAGCCAGAUGUGAAAUCCCCGGGCUUAACCUGGGAACUGCGUUUGGAACUGGAAGGCUAGAGUACGGCAGAGGGGGGUGGAAGUCCAAGUGUAGCAGUGAAAUGCGUAGAGAUGUGGAGGAACACCGAUGGCGAAGGCAGCCGCCUGGGCCUGUACUGACGCUCAUGCACGAAAGCGUGGGGAGCAAACAGG